rfam:Chelonia mydas contig272394, whole genome shotgun sequence.
GUCAGCAGUACAUUAGCAGCACGUAAAUAUUGGCGUUAACUCUGUAAAUAUCUCCAGUAUUAACUGUGCUGCUGAAGUAAAGUUGGC